rnacentral:lncRNA from 1 species
AUUCUCACUCCCAACUCGUCAUAUACUGACGCUUGGUCAGGAACCCUCGGCGUAGGUUAUUGACGCACAGGGUACCCCUUUAGCGUCACAUUUAGACGUGCAGGGAUUCCCUAUAGAAUCUGUAACGUUACCUGAGCCUGAAGCGUCAUAGGGAGACGCUGGAGGCUCGUAUAAUUACCAAUAGAUGUCAACGCACUUUUUAAAACCUGAUUUACGCCUAUUAUCGCAGUUUUCUUCUUUUAAAAAUAUGUAAUUUUUAUUUUGUUCAUGAAAAGCGUCUGUAAACUGGGUCGAAACUACUGUAUGAAUAAACUUCGGUCCACGUGACAUCCCUUCACGUCUAUGCUCGCUAUCCCAAGGUUCAUUGCGAUCCCAAGGUUCACUGCGGUUUUCCACAAGCUCAUAGGAACUCCAAUCUUCCCAACUGUGAGAGGGCCUUGCUCCAGUGACUGUUGGUGAAAUGGAGUGAGGCAUACAAGGAUAUGUGUGGUUUUACUCUUGGGAAGGAGGUUGAACAGUGCAAUAUUUCUUCUAUAGGAUUGCAGUGACCAGACAUGCUACUGUAACUCUCAUGGUCAUGUGCUGGAAUUAGCAGAUAUUCAACAAUUUGGCCAUCUUGCUGACCUAUUGAUAUCAGAAGACCACAACAGCUCUGCAAAGCAAGUUGGAAAACAGAAUCCAUGAAACUGGCAGUGACCGG